rnacentral:rRNA from 1 species
ACACAUGCAGUCGAACGAUGAAGCCUUCGGGUGGAUUAGUGGCGAACGGGUGAGUAACACGUGGGCAAUCUGCCCUUCACUCUGGGACAAGCCCUGGAAACGGGGUCUAAUACCGGAUAACACUUACCUCCUCCUGGGGGUUGGUUAAAAGCUCCGGCGGUGAAGGAUGAGCCCGCGGCCUAUCAGCUUGUUGGUGGGGUAAUGGCCUACCAAGGCGACGACGGGUAGCCGGCCUGAGAGGGCGACCGGCCACACUGGGACUGAGACACGGCCCAGACUCCUACGGGAGGCAGCAGUGGGGAAUAUUGCACAAUGGGCGAAAGCCUGAUGCAGCGACGCCGCGUGAGGGAUGACGGCCUUCGGGUUGUAAACCUCUUUCAGCAGGGAAGAAGCGCAAGUGACGGUACCUGCAGAAGAAGCACCGGCUAACUACGUGCCAGCAGCCGCGGUAAUACGUAGGGUGCGAGCGUUGUCCGGAAUUAUUGGGCGUAAAGAGCUCGUAGGCGGUCUGUCACGUCGGAUGUGAAAGCCCGGGGCUUAACCCCGGGUCUGCAUUCGAUACGGGCAGACUAGAGUGUGGUAGGGGAGAUCGGAAUUCCUGGUGUAGCGGUGAAAUGCGCAGAUAUCAGGAGGAACACCGGUGGCGAAGGCGGAUCUCUGGGCCAUUACUGACGCUGAGGAGCGAAAGCGUGGGGAGCGAACAGGAU